rnacentral:sRNA from 1 species
GGCCCGGGCUUUGCCUUGACGGGGAGCGUGCGUCUCUUUAGACUCAUGCACCCCUAAAUUUGGCAGGGCACGUGCUCUGCCAUUUUGCUUUUCUUAGGGUAAUAGCGUCGAAAGACAACAGUGGAGCUUAUAGA